rnacentral:rRNA from 1 species
UACGUAGGGGGCAAGCGUUGUCCGGAUUUAUUGGGCGUAAAGAGCGUGUAGGCGGCUUUACAGGUCCGUUGUGAAAACUCGAGGCUCAACCUCGAGACGCCGGUGGAAACCGUAAAGCUAGAGUCCGGAAGAGGAGAGUGGAAUUCCUGGUGUAGCGGUGAAAUGCGCAGAUAGCAGGAGGAACACCCGUGGCGAAAGCGGCUCUCUGGGACGGUACUGACGCUGAGACGCGAAAGCGUGGGGAGCAAACAGG